rnacentral:rRNA from 1 species
GAUGAACGCUGACAGAAUGCUUAACACAUGCAAGUCAACUUGAACUUCGGUUUGGGUGGCGGACGGGUGAGUAACGCGUAAAGAACUUGCCUCACAGAUAGGGACAACAUUUGGAAACGAAUGCUAAUACCUGAUAUUAUGAUUAUAUGGCAUCGUAUAAUUAUGAAAGCUAUAUGCGCUGUGAGAGAGCUUUGCGUCCCAUUAGCUAGUUGGAGAGGUAACGGCUCACCAAGGCGAUGAUGGGUAGCCGGCCUGAGAGGGUGAUCGGCCACAAGGGGACUGAGACACGGCCCUUAUUCCUACGGGAGGCAGCAGUGGGGAAUAUUGGACAAUGGACCAAGAGUCUGAUCCAGCAAUUCUGUGUGCACGAUGAAGUUUUUCGGAAUGUAAAGUGCUUUCAGUUGGGAAGAAAAAAAUGACGGUACCAACAGAAGAAGUGACGGCUAAAUACGU